rnacentral:SRP_RNA from 14 species
CGGAAGCCAGCAGCGGCAGCAAACCUCGGCCGCGUGCC